GAUUUGUCCUGAAAGCUUUCACAUAGGCAGAAUUCUAGGGGGUGGGAUGGAGGGCCUCACAAAAUCACAAGAGGAUUAGACAAAUGCAGAAGGUGGCAGAGGUAUUCUGGAAACAUAAGAUAAUUUAAAGGUUGGAAUGGUUAAAUUGGACCAGCGGGUAUUGUGUAGUUCUCUCUUGCUUGAAAAAGCGAGACUGGAAAGAGGGGCAGAAAUAAGAUCAGUAAAGAUGUCUAGAGAAGCCUAGUAAAGGAUAGGAAAAGAGUGUUUCAUGUUAAGCAGUAAUGAGUUGAUGCAACUAGAGAAUCCAGAGAAGGCUGCAUGUACUCAUAUACAGGAUAUGUUCAACUAGACAUGAGGCAGCAGGCAAAGCCCUCAGGAAAAAAACCCAGAAGAGACAUGAGGAAGGGAAACAGGACACACUGAUCAGGAAACUGGCCAUGGCGAAGAUCAGAGAUGAGAAGACUGAGACUGAGUCAUACGGGGUUCGUGGCAGGCUGAGACUCUAAAACUACUGGAAUUCGGCUCGCGCCCACGCCACCACUCCAGGCGGUAUGAGCACACCACACCCUACGUCAAGAGCCCGCCACCGUCACGGGCUGUGACCUGGCCGACGCCCGCCUGUCGAAGGUCAGUGCGCCGCUGCCCCAGAAACAGCCUGUGGGAGGGCAGGGCACCCACACCGACUCGCAGCGCCGGGACAAGUCCUCUCUCCUCCGAAACCCAGCUACUGGGCUUCACCACCUAGUCCAAGAGGACACAGAUCUCCGUACGCAACGAUGCGCGGGGCUUGGCCCUUCCGAGCCACUAUCCUAUGCCCUAGCAUGUGCUACUCUCGCGAUAUGAGUGGCUGAGGCCCUAGAACUUCGUCACUGACCCAAUUUCCGCUCCCUGAAAGGGGCCCAGUCCCGGUCGGGCCGGGACAAUACCUGAGACAGGAGGCGCCUCCGCCAUCCCGUGCCGCAGAACCUAGAUCGAGCUGUACAGCCAAGCCAGCACUGUCACCAGGUCACGUGCUCCGGACUUCCGGCGCCGCGAGAAUAUUCGCAUCUGCGCGCAGUGUAGAUGACCACAGAGGUUGCGCAGCCCGAAUCUGUGUGGCGCGUUCGUGACGUCAGGGUCUUGCUGCCUUACCCAGGCUCGAGUGCAGUGGUCUGAUCAUGGCUCACUAUAGCUUCAGUCUCUAAUCCUCCCGCCUCAGCCUUCCGGGUAGCUAGAACUACAGGCGGAGCCACCAUGCGCAGCUAUUUUUAGUUGAGACGGGAUUCGCCAUGUUGCCCAGGCUAGUCUCCCAACUCCCGGCCUCAAGCGAUUCUGCCGAUUUGGCCUCCUAAAGUGCUUGGCUUACAGGCGUGAGCCACCACGCCUGGCUCCAAACUUUUUUUUUUUUUUUUUUUACAAAGGCGUUUAUUCUCAUCAGUAUCACUGAUAUUCUCAUGGUUCACAUUUGCCAACGCCGCUCCUCUCCUUACAGUAGUUAAAUGUGCCAUCUCAGUUGGGGUCCCAGGGAGGGGUGGGGGCUCGGCCCAGGGUGGGGAGGGCGUUGGCACUUCACGUCGACAGGGUGGGCAGCCUGUCCUGCGUGAAAGAGGUAUGGGUGAGUGGGCGGCCAGGGAAGGGGAGUUGGCAGGGGAGGGCCCUACAGUCUUUUUUCUCUGGUGGUUGGUGAUUCUUCAUUCAGAUUCCUUCCUGGCUGCCCAGGGUGGGGGAACCAUGCAGCUCAGGGCAGGGCAGGGGAGGAAGAGAAGGAAAAAGCAGCAGGCCGCCCGGGGGUAGGGGUGGAGGAUGAACGGCAGGGCAAGGGGGGCAAAGGGUGGCUCCUGGGGUAAGGCACAACCCUGUCUUUGACUUUCCUGGUGAGGAGUUCCUCCCCUGCACCCCCUGCCCGACCCUUCUCCCCACCCCCCAGACCCACACACAGUCCCGGGAGCCAGGGGGCACCUCCUGGGGUCCCUGAAACAAGUGGGCUUUGCCACCCAAGCCAGUGCCGCAGGGGCUCGAGGAGGGACACCCGAGGAAAAGGCAGAGAGGGGCAGGCAGGGGCCUACCCAGGACAAGGGGGUGGGGGUGAGAAGACCCUAGGCCCAGGAGCUGGGCCCCC